ACCCGCUGAACUUAAGCAUAUCAAUAAGCGGAGGAAAAGAAACUAACAAGGAUUCCCCUAGUAACGGCGAGUGAAGCGGGAUGAGCUCAAAUUUAAAAUCUGGCAGUCUUCGAUUGUCCGAGUUGUAAUCUAGAGAAGCGUUUUCCGCGCUGGACUGUGUACAAGUUUCCUGGAUACGGAACAUCAUAGAGGGUGAGAAUCCCGUCCUUGACACAGACUCCCAGUGCUAUGUGAUACGCUCUCGACGAGUCGAGUUGUUUGGGAUUGCAGCUCAAAAUGGGAGGUAAAUUCCUUCUAAAGCUAAAUAUUGGCGAGAGACCGAUAGCGAACAAGUACCGUGAGGGAAAGAUGAAAAGCACUUUGGAAAAAGAGUUAAACAGUACGUGAAAUUGUUAAAAGGGAAACGAUUGAAGUCAGUCGCGUUCGUUUGGACUCAGCUUAGCCUCGGUUAGGUGCAUUUCCUUAUGAACGGGCCAACGUCCAUGUUGCCUGCUGGAAAAGGGGUGGAGAAAUGUGGCUUCUUCGGGAGUGUUAUAGUCUCUGCUUGUAUACAGUAUAGUGAUAUGGAGUGGUACAGCAUGCUUCGGCGGUGCUUGUGUUGGCAUAAUGGCUUUAAACGACCCGUCUUGAAACACGG
rnacentral:rRNA from 1 species